GAAACUAGUCCUCAAAAAGCUGUUCUCUACUUUUUGUGGCUGGCACUUGCGAAAGAGACCCUUUCUUUGAAGUGCCUAGUCUAUUCUUUUUAUCGUUUUAAAGCUAAACUCUCAUGCAUACCAAAAGGCCAAGUCAUAUGUAUAGAGCUUGUUGUUUGAACUAUCUUCAUGAGACUAAGCUCCCAAGUUUUUUGUUUUAGUAGAUAUGUCUAACUCACACUGCUUUAUUUUUCAAACUAUGAAGAAAUGGCGCAGAUUUUGGCACAGACAACAAUGUUAGAUGAGGAUCACAAAAAACUCACUAACAACUAGUCCUAUGACAGCAAACACAUGAAUUUCUCUCCUUGUUGAAAUGGAAGAAGAGUGUAAACACCAAGAGCUUUUCUGAGUUGAGGGUGUAACCUUUACAGUUCAAGAACAAUACUAUUACAGGCUUGAGAGUCUUCUCAACUUGGACAUCAUGCCCUACACCCAUAUGAUGAUUGCAGCAUACAUUUGGUUAUUUGUGAUUCAUGCACACCAGUUGGCGAGCUGAUCCAACAAACAAACGUGCCAGGGUUGCUGAAAUUUUCAGUAACCCAAAGGCUAUAAAUGAAGUUUCAUGGUUCGGGAUCGAGCAAGAAAACAGCCUACUGCAGACAAAUGUUCAUUGGCGCCUGUUGAAGGGCCUUCUUACUGUGGUGUUGGGGCUGAUAAGUCAUUUGGCCGAGACAUAUCCGAUGCUCACCGCAAGGCUUGCUUAUACACCGAUAUCAACAUUAGCGGUACCAAUGGAGAGGUGAUGCCGGGCCAAUGAGAAUAUCAAGCGUGGGAAUUUAAGCGGGAGAUUAUCUAUGGUUUUCAAGAUACAUUCUUGAGAGUAACUGAGUGAGCUGGUGUUGUCCUCGUGUUAGAUACGAAGUCGAUAAGAGGUAGCUGACGUCACUAUCCCCAUCUACGCAACAUAUAUCCCAAGGUUCAUUUUAAAAAAAAAAAUUCUCUUCCUUCUCAGGGUUUCUGGAAUGGUGCAUGAUGCCACACUAACUACAAGUUCACACCAUAGAAAUAACAUGAACUUGGUUAAGUAUUUUUGUUCAUUGAAGGACUUUAAGAGUGUGUUCCCCAGUUUUUUCUGCAAUACGAAAAGCAUGAGAGGAGGGAGGCUUUGGAGUGACAAAAAGGGCAAUUCUAAACCUCUCACUUCACCACUAGUAGCACAUUAGCGCCUAUGGAGAAGGAAAAGAGAAGGUUGAAGGGAAAGUAUGAACUAUGAAAUAGCCAACAUCAUACAUUUUCUUGGGGCAUUGCCAAUCGUGGUUGCUCAAUUCGUGUGGGCCGUGACACUGUGAAGUAGGGAAAAGGUAACUUGGAAGACAGGCGUCCUGCAUCAAACAUGGACCCAUAUGUUGUGAUCUCGUUACUUGCUGAAACUACAAUUUUAUGGAGCCCACGCUAGAGGUUGAAGCUCUUGCUGCUCAGAAGCUAGCAUUGAAGGUCUAAAAUUCAAGCUGCUGAUUAAGAAAGGUCAAAUGCAUUAAUCAAAUCGGUGAUGACCUACAAGCUGAGAGGCUCUGAACCCCUAUUCCUCAAGAUUUAGGUCAUUGAGAGAAGAACUUAAUGUAGAUAAAGCUUUCCAGAGGGAAAGUAAAUUAGAUGUCCAAGUGCAGUCCUAGUCUCCUCUACAUUGGUUUCAUCCUGCAUUCACAAGUAGUCUCAACAUUUUGGGCAUUUGAGUCUACCAUUACCAUUUAGCAUCAUGGGCAUCAUCCUGUGUUCAAAUUGUCAGUUACUUCGAUAUUUCAACACGAUUCAUCUAUAUUUUCAAUGUCCUCAUGUGCUGAACUCAUUAUAAAAGGCAGUUUGACUUCUGAUACAGCAAACAUGAGAUGCAUUAGUUAUUUUCUUCU